rnacentral:rRNA from 1 species
UGGGCGCUAGGCUGAUCCAGCUAUGCCGCGUGAGUGAAGAAGGCCUUCGGGUUGUAAAGCUCUUUUGUCAGGGAAGAAACGGUGGGAGCUAAUAUCUCUCGCUAAUGACGGUACCUGAAGAAUAAGCACCGGCUAACUACGUGCCAGCAGCCGCGGUAAUACGUAGGGUGCAAGCGUUAAUCGGAAUUACUGGGCGUAAAGCGUGCGCAGGCGGUUUUGUAAGUCUGACGUGAAAGCCCCGGGCUCAACCUGGGAAUUGCGUUGGAGACUGCAAGGCUUGAAUCUGGCAGAGGGGGGUAGAAUUCCACGUGUAGCAGUGAAAUGCGUAGAGAUGUGGAGGAACACCGAUGGCGAAGGCAGCCCCCUGGGUCAAGAUUGACGCUCAUGCACGAAAGCGUGGGGAGCAAACAGGAUUAGAUACCCUGGUAGUCCACGCCCUAAACGAUGUCUACUAGUUGUCCGGGUUUUAAUUAACUUGGUAACGCAGCUAACGCGUGAAGUAGACCGCCUGGGGAGUACGGUCGCAAGAUUAAAACUC